GACGAACGCUGGCGGCGUGCCUAAUACAUGCAAGUAGAACGCUGAAGGAGGAGCUUGCUUCUCUGGAUGAGUUGCGAACGGGUGAGUAACGCGUAGGUAACCUGCCUGGUAGCGGGGGAUAACUAUUGGAAACGAUAGCUAAUACCGCAUAAGAGUAGAUGUUGCAUGACAUUUGCUUAAAAGGUGCAAUUGCAUCACUACCAGAUGGACCUGCGUUGUAUUAGCUAGUUGGUGGUGGAACGGCUUACCAAGGCGACGAUACAUAGCCGACCUGAGAGGGGGAUCGGCCACAAUGGGACUGAGACACGGCUCAGAAUCCUACGGGAGGCAGCAGGAGGGGAUCUUCGGCAAUGGACGGAAGGCUGACCGAGCAAAGGCGCGUGAGUGGAGAAGGUUUUCGGAUCGUAAAGCUCUGUUGUAAGAGAAGAACGAGAGUGAGAGUGGAAAGUUCACACUGUGACGGUAUCUUACCAGAAAGGGACGGCUAACUACGUG
rnacentral:rRNA from 1 species